rnacentral:rRNA from 1 species
UACAGAAGGGGCAAGCGUUGUUCGGAAUUACUGGGCGUAAAGGGCGCGUAGGCGGCCUGCUAAGUCGAACGUGAAAUCCCCGGGCUCAACCCGGGAACUGCGUCCGAUACUGGUUGGCUUGAAUCCGGGAGAGGGAUGCGGAAUUCCAGGUGUAGCGGUGAAAUGCGUAGAUAUCUGGAGGAACACCGGUGGCGAAGGCGGCAUCCUGGACCGGCAUUGACGCUGAGGCGCGAAAGCCAGGGGAGCAAACAGG